GGUGGGAUUCCCGAGCGGCCAAAGGGAGCAGACUGUAAAUCUGCCGUCACAGACUUCGAAGGUUCGAAUCCUUCUCUUUCUAUCA
rnacentral:tRNA from 1 species